UAGGGAAUAUUGGACAAUGGGGGCAACCCUGAUCCAGCCAUGCCGCGUGAGUGAAGAAGGCCCUCGGGUUGUAAAGCUCUUUUGUCCGGAAAGAAAAGCAUUCGGUGAAUACCCGGAUGUUCUGACGGUACCGGAAGAAUAAGCACCGGCUAACUACGUGCCAGCAGCCGCGGUAAUACGUAGGGUGCGAGCGUUAAUCGGAAUUACUGGGCGUAAAGCGUGCGCAGGCGGCUUUGUAAGACAGAUGUGAAAUCCCCGGGCUCAACCUGGGAACUGCAUUUGUGACUGCAAGGCUAGAGUGCGUCAGAGGGAGGUGGAAUUCCGCGUGUAGCAGUGAAAUGAGUAGAGAUGCGGAGGAACACCGAUGGCGAAGGCAGCCUCCUGGGAUGACACUGACGCUCAUGCACGAAAGCGUGGGGAGCAAACA
rnacentral:rRNA from 1 species